GAGAUAGCUCAGUUGGUAGAGCAGGAGACUUUUGAUCUCAGGGUUAACGGUUCGAGCCCCACCUUGAGCA